rnacentral:rRNA from 1 species
GUCGAGCGGAGUUUUGAAAAGCUUGCUUUUCAAAACUUAGCGGCGGACGGGUGAGUAACACGUGGGCAACCUGCCCUUGAGACGGGGAUAACUCCGGGAAACCGGAGCUAAUACCGGAUAACACAUAUCUUCGCAUGAGGAUAUGUUAGAAGGUGGCUUUUAGCUACCACUCAAGGAUGGGCCCGCGGCGCAUUAGCUAGUUGGUGAGGUAACGGCUCACCAAGGCGACGAUGCGUAGCCGACCUGAGAGGGUGAUCGGCCACACUGGGACUGAGACACGGCCCAGACUCCUACGGGAGGCAGCAGUAGGGAAUCUUCCGCAAUGGACGAAAGUCUGACGGAGCAACGCCGCGUGAGUGAUGAAGGUUUUCGGAUCGUAAAGCUCUGUUGUUAGGGAAGAACAAGUACCUGUUAAAUAAGCAGGUACCUUGAGGGUACCUAACCAGAAAGCCACGGCUAACUACGUGCCAGCAGCCGCGGUAAUACGUAGGUGGCAAGCGUUGUCCGGAAUUAUUGGGCGUAAAGCGCGCGCAGGCGGUUCCUUAAGUCUGAUGUGAAAGCCCACGGCUCAACCGUGGAGGGUCAUUGGAAACUGGGGAACUUGAGUGCAGAAGAGGAGAGCGGAAUUCCACGUGUAGCGGUGAAAUGCGUAGAGAUGUGGAGGAACACCAGUGGCGAAGGCGGCUCUCUGGUCUGUAACUGACGCUGAGGCGCGAAAGCGUGGGGAGCGAACAGGAUUAGAUACCCUGGUAGUCCACGCCGUAAACGAUGAGGUGCUAAGUGUUAGAGGGUUUCCGCCCUUUAGUGCUGCAGCAAACUCAUUAA